ensembl:lncRNA
UAAUUGUGAUGGACGCUGUAGGAGAGAGGAAUAAUGUUGUGGGGGAGACAAAAGGAAGGACAACUGUCAACCAGCAAGAGAUGAUUCAAACACAGCUCUCUAAUCCAUCCCCAGCUCAGGCCAGGAAGUGCAUUGCAGCUGGCCCCCAGCCCGCAGCUCUGUCUCCCUGUGUCGGGCCAGCCUCCCUGACCCUGACCCCCACCACCCACCAGGCCAUGGGCCCACUCAAAGCGCGUCAAAUUAGCACCCGGCAGAUUCCUGCUACAAAGAACCAGGCAACCGAAAAAGCCUGGAGACAGGCUGAUUGGUGCUGCGAGCCCUACACAGUAUGGUGUCUCGAGCAUGGCUGUAUGUGGGCUCUGGCUCUACUGAACGACCGCCUCUGCCAGUCUGUCUGGAUGUAAAACUGUAUUUAAUGGUGUAUGAACAUCAAAGCAAUGGGGGUGGCAUUCAAAAUAAAUGAAUUUCAUUGAAUACAGUUAGAUGGAAUUUUAUGAUGAAAGUGAUGAACAUUGAAUGCAGUUAGAUGGAAUUGGCGUGUAUUUUUGGACAGAAUGAUGAGUGAC